AUCCACUGUAAUCUGCUAUCUCUUUGAGUCUAGUAGUCAACAAUAUGCGACUACCGUUGGAAUCAUCUGGGAAGCAUCUUUGUAGAUCAUCCCAUCCUUUGCUGCCCCAUAUGUCAUCCACGACAAGAAGAUACCUUUGACCCAUCAGGCGCCGACGUAAUUUGUCUGCAAGCAGGUCAACACUACUAAUUUCUUCAUCAGUCAUUUGUACCACAGAACGGCACAAGUCGUAGCGAAUUCUCCACAGAUCAUAGUGUUGAGACACGGUUGCCCAACCAAGAACAUCAAAGUGAGCUCUUAUUGAUGGAUCAUCGUAGAUUUUUUUGGCCAUAGUUGUCUUGCCAAUGCCUCCCAUGCCAAUAAUGGAUAUAACUUGUCGUUCCUGAGUGGAGUGUUGAAGGAGAAUCUCCUUUAUACUCUCAAAUUCUUGGGCGUGCCCUACCAUUAUUGCAUCAUCCUGCUGCAGCUUUGAUUGGGGAUUAUAUGACCACCACAUUUGGGUAGUGUUUCUUUGCUGAAUAAGCCCUUCAGUGUGUUCUGCAAGACGUCGCAAGAUUUGGUGGAGUCUUUGAUGAGAAGCUCCAUUGGAAAGGAUCUCCAUUACUUCAGAUUCAAUAUCAUCUUCAGCUCUGAAACUUAUGUCUUUAACUCUUGCAAUAACAUCUUUCUCGGCCUGGCUAACAUUGAGCUUUUUCUCAGAUUCCUCAAGAAGGGCUACCAAAACAGAAAGCCUUUGAUGAAGACGCUGGAUUUCAUCCUUGUAAUCAACAACCAAGAUUGGUCGUGGCUCUAAGAACUGCAACUCUACUGUUCGGAUAAGAGAGAUGAGACCAACACAGGCCAUCCUUCAAUUCACUCUAAUCAUUUCUUGCUCUCUCUAGCUUUGUUUCAUCAAGAAUCAACACCUUUAGCUAGAAUUGUUUUGAUAUAAUACUUCUGAAUUUGUACUUAUAAUUUUCAAUCUCAA